rnacentral:rRNA from 1 species
CAGCCGCCGCGGGAAUACGUAGGGUGCAAGCGUUAAUCGGAAUUACUGGGCGUAAAGCGUGCGCAGGCGGUUAUAUAGACAGAUGUGAAAUCCCCGGGCUCAACCUGGGAACUGCAUUUGUGACUGUAUAGCUAGAGUACGGCAGAGGGGGAUGGAAUUCCGCGUGUAGCAGUGAAAUGCGUAGAUAUGCGGAGGAACACCGAUGGCGAAGGCAAUCCCCUGGGCCUGUACUGACGCUCAUGCACGAAAGCGUGGGGAGCAAACAGGAUUAGAUACCCGCGUAGUCCCUGUCUCUUAUACA